UCCGCUGCAGGCGACGUGAGGGGCUUCUGGGAGGGGAGGGCUGCCUUCAGCGGAGCGGUCUUUUCGACGCCAAGUCGAAGUAAUCUGUGGAGCUGAGGGAACCCGGCCCCGAUGCGAGCCCUAAGUGAGGGGCGCUGAGCGGAGAGCCCGGCAGCACCGAUUGCUAUGUGCUGGUGCCUGAAGCCCUCAGCAGAACCCCGCAGAGGUGGGCUGGAGCCAUGCUCCCCAUAACGGCACUGCCAAGAGCAUCCCACCAUGCGUGCAGCCUUUAGGAGCAGCUGGGUGUGUUGAAAGACCAUCUUCAAGGUGUCUUGAAAACUAAUGAGUCUACAUUAUGUCAUCAGUCUGGUAGGAUUGGGUGGAGACAUGACAGCCUUGGAAUGGGAAGAUAGAAUGGAAAGCAAUCAUUCCUGCUGUAAAAGGCUUCCGAAAGGACCGGGCUGAAAAUGUUUGCAUGCCGUAAGAAGGCACGCAAGGCUGUCAAGCAAACCGGAUUCCGUUCCGCUCCGUUCCGUUCCGCGCUCUCCCGCGGCUCACAGUCGCCCCCUGCCGGCCGCCGCCGGCCGCUCGCUUCCCGGAGCGGCGUCGCGCUGCUGGUGGCGUCACGCAUAGAGCUACGGCUGGAACGAGAGAAGUCCGUGUUUUCCAAGUGCAGCAAUGCAGCUGGUUCAGCUGGCCUGGGGAAGAUAAUUCUGCGUUUAGUAAUAGUGCCGCAAUAGCGUGUUUUCUUGAUGUAACUCUUGGCUGCACGGUGAGUGUUAAAUUCUCGUUCCUUCACAUCGUCACAUAGCCCACCCCUAUCGUGUGCUGAAGUGACCAGAUGAACUAACACAGAAGUUGGGCCUUUCUUCCUCUAUUAUUUACACAGCACACUCACUUUAGUUCCAACUACUCUCAACUUUGGCUAUGCAAUCCUUGAGACAGAAAGUACAAUAAGGAAGUUGCUAAGUACGAAAAGCUCCUUGGCUUUCCUGCCUCGGAGGGAGAGGAACAUUACAAGAAAGAAUACAUCAGCAGUGGACGACUAGUGAAUGAGGCUCCGCUUGGAUCCCAUCUGGAAACGGCUAUCAGCAUUAUAUGGAGCUUGAAACGUGUUGUGUGCAAGUAGGAUUCUAAAAGCUUCACUUGGAACCCAAAUCUGAAAGCAUCCUGUUUUGUUGUGUUUUGGGGUUUUUUUGUUUUGUUUUGUUUUGUUUUGUUUUGUUUUUAUGCUAAAUGUUUCUAAGUUGUUGGUUUUAACUGGAACUGCAGGAACCCAAGGCUUUCAAUUGCAUGCAAACCUGCCCUAACCUGACACCUUUUACGAGCUUAAAAAAAAAAUAUCAGAGGAAUGUAGGCUUCUACCAGAGCCUGCCACCAAAGCGUGGAAACAUCCUGCCAACAUGUUUACUCACUGCUGUAAUGAGCACAUGCAAGAUUAGAAAGUUUGUUUAGGUAUUACUGGAAACCUUUUUCCAUCACAAUCCUUUCAGCUGUUUCACAAGGACUGAGCAGGAAAUUUGGCCUUUGGGCUCACACGUAAGGUACGUGUAGUGGUGAGGGAAGACUUAGCAGUGCCAGCUGUAACCAGGGAGCUGCCUAGUGAGUGCACUGUGGGUCACUACCAGACUAAGGUACAGGAACUUGCAAUGACAUGAACAACAGAGGGAAUUAAGAGUCACAGCCUAAAUUGGCUCUUUUGUCAGUGUCAUGUAAUGUGCUUGGGAUAGUUUGCCUGCGUAUGGCACAACUGCAGUAUAAUUGCAAACAUCAAGAAAUGAGUAUGUAGACUUAGGUGGGUUGGGAUGGCUGUAACAUAAAUCUGAGGCAGGGGAGGAGCUGCAGCCCAGUGAUGCAAAGAGUUGAUUUCUCUGCUCUAUAAAACACAUCCUGUGAUUUCCUACUCGUGUACUGCUUCUUAGUGUAGUCAAGCACAAACUAUUUAAGGCAGGGAUUCACUGUGCGUGCAAUUGUGUGUUAUGUAAUAAUAAUGAUGUGUCUAAUUGCUAUUGAAAAAAAAAGUAAUAAUAAUAAUAAUGGCUGUGAUUUCUGCCUUCCAAAGUAGUGCGUAUUUUCUUUGAAGUAAUCAGGGACUUGUUGCUAGGCAGUUAAUAUUUAAGGUACCUUAAAUAUUUUAAUGCGUCUAUGCCUGCUGUUUCUAGGCACCAAUAUUUGUUUAUGUUAUCAUUAUACAACCCUUUCUACCUUAUAUCCUUUGUUCAGUCUAUCCAUACAGUGAAAUUUCAGUCACACUUUUUUUUCACAGGUAGCAGAUUUACUUUACUACAGUUGAGAAUGAUAAAAUCCCUCUGAUGCAGAUUUCUUCUUUGUCAGGAUGUUUUGCACUAAUGUUUUGCACUAAUACCAUUUACUCUUUCUUUGCACAGUCCUUCUCCCAGGUGUGUUCUGUCUUUGUGAUGGCUUGGUGUGUAGGCAUGUAGUGAUUUUAAUAAAGGUUUGAAUUUAAUGGUUGAGAAUCAAGAUUCAAGAUCACCUUUAAUUGUAGAUGUAAACUAGGAAUUGAAAUACUGACUUUUUUUGACCAAGCUCUAAAUUUUUAAGAAAAGUCUUCACAUGUGAUCUCUGGUAAGACAGUGGGCCAAGAGAAACAGAGAUUUCAUGGUAGCUGGAAGGCAAUCAAAGAGGGUGGGAGGGAGGUAUAAGAUCUCAUCAGAAAUUACAACUUUGAGGGAAGAUCCUGGGAGCAAGGAAGCACUAACAAUACUGAUAUACAUAACUAGGGGAAUGUGCUGCCACUACUUCAGUCCUUCGGAAGAAUCAUAGAAUCACAGAAGCACAAGGUUGGAAAGGACCUACAAGAUCAUCUAGUCUAACCGUCCUCCCAUUACCAUUGCUCCCACAAGCUACUAAACCAUAUCUCGUAGCUCCUCAUCCAGACAGAAGUAAAAAUAUCAAAUCCUUUUGGCAGCUCUGCAACACUGCUUUAGAUUUUCCUUGGUUUCAUCUCAAUUUUAUUCAAAUAAAAUAGAAAAAUUCCUGCUGGGUAAAGUGUUCUUACACACAAAACGUAAGCUGCAAGCUGUGUGCUUGGAGAGCCGUGAGACACUGUUGUCUCUCUGUGUUCUUUGCCUCAGAUCUAUAUGGGCUGCAGAAAAUAUCCAUUAUCUGCUUGCCAGCCCUAUGGGAAAUACACCAAAAGCAUUAUUCCAAACCUUGCUCAUUUCUGCAGAGGAGCUGAGCUUUCCUGAUAGAAAUGGAUGAGAACUCAAAGUUCACCAGAUGAUGAAAGGCAAUAAAUCAGAGCCUGAAGUAAUUCAUGUGAUGAUUUUGCAGACCCAGUCUGUUCAUUGUCAG